ensembl:lncRNA
AAUCCAUUUCCUCCUUUUGCUGGGUACUCAGCCAGAUUCCUUUCCCAGCCUUCCUCAACUUUGUGACUGAAUUUUAGCCCAUAGAUUGUGAACAGAAGCUAUGCACGUUACUUUGGAGAUGAGAUGAGUAAGAAGUGGGUACACCUUCUCUCCCCUUUAUGUCUUCCUGCUGAGGGCCAUGAAGCCUAGGAGAGGAAGGAACCCCAAGUUUAAAAGGAUAUGGAUCCUUGAAAUACUUCUUGGAGGACAGCUGCCUGCCAUUCUGAAAUGUUUGCGCCAGCUUCAUAUCAUUCUCUCAAGCUUGAAAAAAACCACGUGGAGCCAGUGAACACUGAGGUUCCAUCAGAUUGGUACCCUCUGUUGAUCCAUAGGGAGAGAAUGGACUCUUGAUAACCAUGAUCCUGCCCUCCGGAAGUCAGAAAAGAAUGAAUAACUUUGAACACAUCACAGCAAUAAAAAUAUAAGAAUAAUGCUGGGGUCAUCACAAACAGAGGCAGAUGGUGGUGGCAUUUCCUUCUUGCCGGGAGCUCAGAUAUUAUCUGGAUAGAUUUCAGCAGGCUUUGUGUCCAUUCCCUCUCAGCGCGGGCAGCUUUCCUGGAUAGAGCCCCAGCCACCCAAACGGCAGACAGAUUUGAUUUAACUGCGAUGACUUGUGUAUCGGGUGACUUUGGAUGGUUUAAAACAAUGGCCUGUGGAAUCUACUUACACAGCACUAUGGGAAUGAGGAUGAAGGGUCAUAUCCAUGGUUAAUCCGAUCAAUUGUCUGCUACACACAGAGAAAGAACCGAGCUUGCCUGCAAACUGGCUCAUUCAGGAUGUGAGCACAAGAUGGAAUUCAACCUUUAAUAUGCUGCAACACCUGCUUGGAAAUAAAGGGGCUCUGUGCUUUUCCCCCCAAGGAGUUGACAGCUGACUUCAUUACAGAGGAAUCUGGCAGAGAUGGCCGUGGCUACUCCUCAGCCUCCGGAGGCACUCACCCAGGAAUGCAGUGCCAACCAGACCUGAGCUUUGGGAUUCUGCCAGAAACCCAUGCUGGGCCAUUUUACCCUAAAUCAUUCCUCUUCCUUGAACUCUAGGAGUUUUUCUACCUUUGGUAGAGCUGCCUCCAGACAAGGGAGAUGAGAAGAGGCUCUGGCCUGCUGACGCUAAGUGGAGAAGCAUUUGCAGGUGUUCUCCAAUGGGAUCUGGAUUUUCAAACUUUCUUUCUCAAGGGUUCUGCAAUGUUGCACCCCAACAGGCACAAAGGCAGGGCUGCCAUGCUCUACAGAGUGGAACUUGAAGAUUCAUCAGAGACCUUGUCCAAGAUUUGGAACAGACCCAGCGUUGUUCCAAGGAACCUAACCCAGCCUGUGAGAGACUCCUACAGGCCGUCUCUGGUGCCACAACCUUCCAUUGGGGCUGGAACACUGGUUAUGCUUAUGAGCUUUCAAAGUAGAAUGUCAACCUCAUCACCCAUUUGCAUGAUUUCCAAAGCAUAUUAAUCUGGCUUCCACUAGUAACACAGAAUAUAACAUAUCUUACUUGCAACAGGAAAUAUUUCCUUUCUACUAUUUGCUAUUCUUCAUCAUUAAAAAAAAUCUGUCUGAAAUCUAAAUACCCAGAAAGAGGGGUGGGCUCACAGGGAACACAACCAUUUGGUGGAUCACUGCUCAACCUGAAGCAACAGAAAUAUGAAGGCCACAGAGCAACUUCAAAACUGCAUUUGAUGCUAAUUUAAAACAAAGUACUACUCAAACUUUCAUAGAUGAAAAUCACAUAAUUUUUAAACAAAUACUUUAAAUAGUCUGAAAUGAGAAAUAAUUGAUGCCAAAGGUCAAAACUGGCAAUCCAAGAGUUGGGUCUGGCCCGAAAGUGUGUCUCAUAUGGCCCACACGGUGGGGGUCAGCUGAGUUUGAAUAAAAAACGGAGUAGGUUGCCAACAUUUAGAAAUUGGCACAUGGCACAUAACCACCCGGAUUGCUGCCUUCUCCUGAGACACUGGGCAAUCUGGCCUCGGCAGGCUGCUUUCCCUCCAGGCAACAGUUGGGGGCAGGUGAUGGGCAUUUGUCAUCCAGGUUGCCAGAGUCCCUGCUGGGCCAGAUUUCUCGCUCAUUGAGUUUGUAAGCCUGGCCCAGGUGCAAGGGUGGUAGGGUUCUGGGUCAUUUUCCCUCUCUCCCCUUCUUCCAAAACUUGCUCUUGGUUAUUAUGCUACUUCAGAGUUAAAAUAAUCAUUAAAUGCCCAGUUGUAAAAGGUAAUGUGGAGGAAGAGAGUCUGAGGCCCAUACUACUUCUCUACUUCUUGGAUGUUAUUUUCACAUUUCUAGCCUUACGCCCAGUGCACUCGCUUGAGAAUGUGAGCGUGGCCCCGUGGUUCUCGAACGUGGCUACACUAGAAUCACCUGGGGCACUUUUGAUGUCCAGCUUGCACUCCAGACCAAUUAAAUCAGACUCUUGGGAAGUGGGAUUCAGGCAACAGAUUUUUAAAGUUCCCAGGUGAUUCCAAUGUAAAAAGGUCCUUGAAAAAAUCAUGGAAAACUUUAUGUUAGAGCAGUUUCUCAAGCUCGUCACUAUUUUCAUUUGGGACCUGAUAAAUCUUAUUUCUGGGGACCAGUCCUAUGGACUGUAGGAUGUUUAGCAGCAUCUCUGGCCUCUACCCAUAGAUGCAGUAGCAUUUCUCCAGAUGAGAACCACGGCAUUCGAUAGUGAAACUAUGGUCAUUUUUUUUUUAAAGAUUUUAUUUUUUUCCUUUUUCUCCCCAAAGACCCCCGGUAGAUAGUUUCUUUGUUGUGGGUCCUUCCAGCUGUGGCAUGUGGGACGCCACCUCAGCGUGGCCUGAUGAGCAGUGCCAUGUCCGCGCCCAGGACUCGAACCAAUGAAACACUGGGCCGCCUGCAGUGGAGUGCGUGAACUUAACCACUCAGCCACGGGGCCAGCCCCCGAAACUGUGGUCAUUGUAUUGGCCACUUGCCUGUAUAUAAGGUCACUGAGAAAUUUCUCUUGGAAUUAAAAUCUAGGAACAAAAUUUUUCUCUUAAGAAAGUGGUUCCCUUUUGUUGUUUUUUUCCCCUUUACUAUCAGGAAGCUCAAAGCCAAUGCUAAAAUGCAUUCAAAACCAAAACUAAAGCAGAAACAAGACAACUACUCCAGUGUGUUUUCUCCCCUCUGCAUGUCUGCCUGAUGCUAAUUUUCCUAUUAACGUUUUGUUAAUCUUUAAGUUGCUUUACAUUCUUAGGGAAUAAAGUAGGAAAUAAAUAUAAAGAAGGUAACAAGCAAAAGGAGGGAAUGACUGUUCCAUGCACUGCUUGGUAUUUAUGACCCAAAGAACAGUUGGUCAUAAGGAAGACCUGCUAAAUUUGAAUGACCUCAUAGUUUUUGGAGGAUCAGCCAGGCAUACAUGGCAAAUAAGGGUCAACCCCUUUAGCCUCCAGCUUUGUCUGGGAAGAGGCUGAGCUAUGGGGGUGUUGAAGGAGCCCAAUGGCCACCAUGUGGUGGCCUCUAGGAGAAUAAGCACAAGCUUCUGUUGUUUCCUGAGAAUGCCACCUCCUGCUGUUUACUAGGAGUCUGGGAAGUGUCUGAGAGGCGAUGCUGUUCAGGGCAACCUGGGAUCCAGCCCUGGGAUAACACCAUCACCUGCUUUCCGUGAAUGAAGAGCAGAUUACUUUUAGUAAAUACAACCACUCAUUAAUAACCCUAAGUUUUAAAGCUUUUAAAGAAAUCAUUAUUAAGUGUGGCUACUUCAUUUUAAAUGCAAAAACCUUGAAUAGACCAGAGAUCUUAAUUUUUUUAAAGAAGCUGAGUAUUUUAAUUAUGAAUGUACUUGCAUAUUCUUAGCAUACUUCAUUAUUUAUGUAGCCGGUGAAAAAGCUUUCUAAUUAAAUAGCAUGCUGGCAAUCCAUUGUGAAAUGUAUAAAUGCAGGUUUUCCUAGCAUUAAAAAACUACACACAAACACACACGAACCAUUCUGGCAAGCACACAUCCUUUAAUCGCUAUGAGAUACUUGUUUCUGAAUGAUCUUAAGCUUUAUCAAACUUUUGUUUUAUUGGUAACAAAAUAAACAGUAUAAUUUGCCAGCACUCUGCAUGGUUAUACACAUUUAAUACAUUCAACUAACUUGGAAAUGGGGUAGCACAGUGGUUCUCAAAGUGCGGUCCCCAUGCCGGGAGCAUCAGCAUCACCUGGGAACUUAUUAGAAAUACAAAAUUUUGAACCCCACCCCCCGCCACCUGAAUCAGCAGUUCUGGGGAUUGGGCCCCACCCUGUCCUGUAACAAGCCCUCCAGGUGAUCCUGAGGCAGGCUAAAGUUUGGGAACCAUGGGGAUGAGGACUAUGCCUUGUGGUGC